GUCAGUCACCCACCGCUCAAGCGGCGGGCUUGCACGACAAGCCCUGACUGACCAGCACCCAGCUUGAGCAAUCAGGCUACGUUCGGAAGGAAAACAUAGGCACCGUGAGAUGCAUGCCAGUCUCACGCUCUGCGGCCAGCCGUUAAAAGUCCUGAUGGGUAGGGGCGGUGCGGCUGGCGUAUACAACCCUUCCAGAACAUGGUCGAGGCACACAUCAC
rfam:Kouleothrix aurantiaca strain COM-B contig_229, whole genome shotgun sequence.